CAUUCUGUGUCUGCAUUCUUCUCUGCGACUUAGGCUAUUUCUUGGUUAAACUCUCAAGCCUUUUAAAAAGCAUGCAGUGUUCAAGCAAAUAUUGUUUACAACUCUAGACUGGUUAAAACUAUAUGCUAACUAAUUGUACUGUAAAUGGCAUAAGAUAAGCUAGUUUUUGUAUAAAGCUUAUUUUUCUAAAUUAUUAAGUUUCAACAUAUUUAUUAUAUUUAUACAAACUUAUUACAUUGUACAUUAGGAUGCAUCAUGCCAAUGCAAGUGACUUUAUGCAAUGUAUAAUUUCCUAUAUGUUUGGUCAUUAAAACUGCAAACAAUUUUUAAAAUUUCUGAUAGGUUAUAUACUAUUAGCCUCAGAUUUUCAUAAAUUCUCAUUCUUGGAAUAUUCACUUAAUAACAAAACUCUUUAUAAAUGUUUCACUGAGAGAUGUAUUAUACCCCUUAGUUGUGAUGGUUAAUAUGUUCUUCACCUGAACUAUAAACACUUACCUGUCAUUUCCACUGUCAGCUAUGAAUGACAUAUUUUCCAAUAUUAGUAUUUAGGACAUCAUAAUGGGAACUAACUAAAAAUUUACUAAUUUGGGCUACCACCAAAAUUCACUUCUCAUUUCCAUGUUGAGAACUGAGUCACUCGUUUCUCCAGGAUACAGUUGCUGAGCAUCUACUAUGGCACACAGCUCAUUUCCCAAAGCUAGACGUAGAACAAAGCCACGCCGACGACACCAGCAGAACAACACCGAUGACUGCGGCUUACAUCCUGGUGAGCCAGAGGCAGUCUCUGUUUGGAAAAUAAUGCUACAGUCUAUAGUUGAGCUGAUGCUUAAUUAAGGAGACAGAUUUGCAGCAUGUUCUCACCAAUGGUGGUCUUUAUCUUCCAUUGUUGUGCUCCUACCACAGUUAUUGGGUGGAUGAGUGUUUCCUUACCUCUCUCUGGAAUCCUUGAGAAACAGUAACAACCCGUCUGGUGGAAAAGCAUAGUGAGUAAUUUAGUGAAUGGAAUUACAAUGACUGAUAUGGAAACUAGAAUGUUUUAUGGAUAAAUAAUGCAUAUUAUACAAAAUAAAAUAUCUAAUGAAAGUAUAAUACACUUAUUCAAACUAUAACCUACAUAAUAUUUAAUAUGCAGAAGGAAGAGAUUGCUUGUUAUCUGUCUGACCGGCAUUUUAUAAUCAUAAUUACACACAAAACACUAACUUUAUUCAGCAUAUUAAAUGUCUAAUAGGAGGAUUAUAUUCUGUUGAUUCUUUCCAUUUAUUGUGACUCAGGAGAUAUAAAUAAAAUUAUUAUUUAAGAUUUUUUUGGAAUGCCUCCAAUAUAGAAAUUUAAAAGAAACCUGGGCAGUGACCUUCCAUAGAUUUCCCUUUUUAUGCAUUUCUUUGCGGGGACAGGAUAGAGGCAUGCUGUCCCCAAACAGCUCAAGUUCUUAAAUGAACAUCAAAACCGAUACAAUGGGUCAGAGUUGGGCAUCAAAAAAUAUAAAAUUCCAUGUCUCUCAAGGCCUUAGGGUUCUUUUGCCAGCCUGUCAAUCUGUUUUGCAGUUAUUCAUAUGAGAAAAAUGCACAGUGCUAUUAAAAAUUAAUCUAGCUUCAAUGCACUGUAAGUGAAAGAAAUGAGGGAGGAGAAGCCAGACAGUUGAUAUGUGAACAAGGAAAAAGUAACAUAAUGAUGAAGAUGGAUGACAAACGGCAUGCUGGUUAGAAGAGCCAUUGUGAAAACAUGAUCAAAAGCACAAUGUGACGACGUGAUUUACAGGAGUCACCUAAACAGCAGGAGAUACAUGUGUUGCUUGAUGUGUAUUAGUGUGUAUUUUUAAGGAUGCAUGGUUUUUGAAUAGUAUGAAUAAUUUUUUAUAGAUGUUGAAAUAGGAACAAUGCUGGAAUGACUAAUAGAGAUAUUGAGUAUUUCACAAGUAGAAUGCUAGAAAUAGCUGAGCAUGAGAUGCCAGUUGAUGAGAACAUCUUCCAAAUCAUUUUGGCAAGAAAUAAGGGAAGGCUUGGGUCCUAUAAAUACAUGGUGUCCAUGAGCCCUCAUUGCAAAAUGUCUGUGUGUUUUCCUUAGUUCCCUCUUUACUAAGGUGAAUUUCACCAAGCAGAUAGUUAUUUGUUUUAAAGUGAGAAGUCAGUAGUGUUUACUGGGCUCACAGUGAGGUGUCACCAUCGUUGCCUGAUUCCAAAGCAUUCUAAUCAACCAGAACAAAACCCCAUAGCCACAAGGCAGUCAUUCUCCAUUUCCCUUCCUCUAACUCCUGAGCUUCACCAAUCUCUUUUUGUCCCUAUGGAUUUAUCUUUUCUGCAUCAUUUAUGCAAAUGGAAUGAUAUAAUUUUCUCCAAGAAUGUUUUAGAAUUGUACCCACACUGUAUUAUGUAUCCAUAACUUAAGCCUUUUAUGGCUGAAUAUUUAUUCAUUUCUGAAUGUUACUUCUUGUUUUGUAUGAAUAAUAAUGUGAAAUUUUCCUUAAAUGAUUUUAUUUGUAUUUCUCCCGUAUCUACCAAGUACUUACUGGCUCUAAAUAAACCAUCUUCUCCUUUUCCUUCAGUGUUCUUGCCUAUGCUAAUUCAAUUACCUAAGUUACAUUCCUGUUGCACCCCAAGUUACUUGGCUAAUCAGAUUGUUAUGUUAUCCCUCCCAACCUAUUCGACCAACUAGAUGUGAAGCCCUCAGACAAAAGGCCAAUAACAACAUUUCUGCCAUGUCAGAGUUAUUUCUUGUGAUUGAAAACUUUUUAAGGCGAAAUCAUGCAAUGUAUUUCUAUAUCACCCUAUGAGGGAUCCAAACAUUUGUUACUAUGGCUAAAUAUAAUUUAAAUAUUUUUACAGCAAAUUAGAACCCAAUUCCCGUUUAUAAAAUGAUUACCGACAUAGUCUAUUAAUUUAUUUCUAGGGCCAAGAAGAUGGGCAGGAUAGAUAGUAGUAUUCCUGCAUUAUUAUUGUUAAUUUUUCAGACUUAAAUUCUUACUCAAAGACUCACUUUCUGAUAGCAAUUGCCAGGGCUAAGGUUGAAACCCGAGCUUGCACUUAUACAGUGGGCAUGACUUUCUCUUUUAAAACUAGAUUUACUUUGAAGCCUUUGGCUUAAAUGCUACAAACUCAAUUAAACUGAGAUCUGGGGGACUUGGCUAGGGAAAAGAUGUUCAUGAUGGGAGUGGAAAAUUACUGCUUGCUCUCAGUUUCAUAGGACCAUAAAACAGCUUCAGGGAUUUCCAUUAUUUUAUUGAUGGACUCCUUAAAUUGCAUUUUACUUAUCUCUCUCCCUAUUCACAAAAAUCCCUAAAGAUCCUGUGGUGUGAUUUCAUACCUUCUUCCCUCUUGGGACAGUGUGACCUUUUCGUGCCCUCACCAUGCUGAAGGAUGAGCAUAACUUACUAGUCCCUCAUUGCUUCUCAUGCUGAUAUGACACUACACCAUUUUAAUGUUUAGCGGUCUUGAACUGAAAGUGACCUCAAGAGUUGGGGAAGGGAUUACGUUCAGUAGCUCAUAGACCUGUCUCGAGGUUGUGCUGUAACUCACACGUGCUUAGUUCCCACUAACAAGGCUCCCACUAAAAUUUAUUUCACUAUUGCUCUCUUGAAUCACCCCACCUCCUCAGUCUCAAGGGUCGAUUACUAAAUAUAAGCAUGGAUGACCAGCGAUAAUGGUCGACGAUAGAAAGUUACUCAUCUUUAGUGUAUAUUCUAUUCAAUAAAUUUAAAGCAUUGGCUAUUUCAGAAUUCUAAGAGGACAAGUAUUUGAAACCAAAAAUAUGAAAGAUAGAUACUGCCUUCUGUACUUAUAUUGAGGAAUGCUUUUUCAGGUGCAAAGAAACAAAAUUUCUCUAAAUGGCACGGAUUAGGAAAGGAGAGUAUCAUAUUUACACUAAAGGUAUUUAGAAAGUGAAAACUAUCGCCAGUCAUAGUGGUGGGCAUCCAGACUGAGCUGAGGUUUAGCAUUGUUUUCCUACUUCCCCUGUGUUAAAAAUCAAAUGUCUCUCUACACAUGUGAACAUUUCUCUCUCUUCUGUGUUGAUAGGGAUGGCUAGCAUUGUAUGCUUGGCAUAAUCUAGAAAAUGCAAGGUAACACACUUCAGGGCGUAUUUGUAAGGAAGAUUCCGAAAUGAGAUAACUAAGUCCAAGAAUUACCCCAAGGGAAUGCUAUGGUACUCCUUCUAAAGUAAGCAUUCCAACAGCAAUGAGAGAGGAAUACAGGGGAUGUAUUCAUUAGUGGACUGGUAGUCUCAGCAACAGCGCACAUAGCAAGCACAGAUCAGGUUGCGAACAGAGGUCUGUGUUGAUACUCCAGCUUUCUCUUGUGUUCCAGGAUGCUUCUCCUCUGUGGUCCUCUUCCAAUCUCAGGGAAGUCAAGGCUAAAGCUGAAGCAGGAACCUGGAGGCAGGUGCUGAAGUAGAGACCAUGGAGAAACGCUGAUUACUGAUUUACUUUCAAUGGCCUAAGCGGCUUGCGGUCUUCUACAACCAAGGCGUUCUCACUCCCAAAUCAAACGUUUAUUAAGAAAAGGCCCAAAGGCAAGCCUGCUGGCCAAUCUUAUGGAGACAUUUCCCCAGUUGAAGUGCACUCUUAGCUUCCUGACUGUGGAUCAAGAUGUGAGCUGUUACUGUCACCAUGUCUACUGCUUGGCUGCUGAGCUUCCCUGUAUGGCAAGUAACUGACUCCCCUCUGAAACUGGAAACUCCAAGUAAACUCUUUCCUCUUUUUCUAUAAGAUGACUUGAUCACGGUGUUUUAUCACAGCUAAAUAAACCAGACAGUGUCAAUAAACACAGGUUUUCCUAGAUAUGUUCAGACAAUAAUUAACUGUAAUACAAAUUGAGCACCAUGAAAGCAUUCUUGGUUGUCAACUUGAUUACAAAUGGAAUUAACUAAAGGGAAGUGACUCAGUGCACGACUUUUUUUUUAUAAUUAAAUCAUUUGAAGUGGUAAAAUCUUCUUUUUUAGUCCCAAUCUUCUGAAGUGGGAAGAUACACCUUUAAUCCAGACCUUUUAGCUGGGAAUAUCUACCUUCAAUCUGGGCCAACCCCUCUCUUGGAAGCCUAUAUAAGGAAAAUGGAAGAAGGAAGCAUGCUCUCUUUGCCUGUUUGCUCUUGCUCACAAACCCCUGAUACUAAUAUAAAUAAAAGUGAAUGGAAAUAGUUACUAAAAGUUAUUUAAUAUUAUUAAACAGUCAAAGUAGUUUGAAAGUUUGAAAUUCCAAAAUUCACUGGCACUUCCCAAACUCCCUGUCAACUAUAUUUAUCGUCAGGAAGAUCCUAAGUCUGCAUAUGCUUCCUCAAGGAGUGGGAGGAGAGGGAAGGUGGAGAAUAACUAAGAGUAAAUCUUUUGGGAGAAGUAUCUCCUAAAUUAGCAAAUUUCAUUGAAUUUUCCAGACAGAUGAGUUUUUGCUUUUAGAUUGCUCUUCUUUGUCACUUAAAAUAUAGCUGUGCUUCUGAGUUCUCUCACUUCCUUUCUUAACACAAAUGCAUUUUAAAGAAUCCUCUCCUUAUAUAAACUUUUGAAAUGGUAAAAUAUGGUUCAGAUAGUUACAUUAAUUUCUCUUUUCUGGCAUCUAGUUCUAAUCAUUUUUUUGGGAAGUUGAACGCUACUCUCCACUAGUCAGCAUGCCAAACAUUGACUCUCAUGUUUAUUUUAUAGUUAGAUGCUUGUUUUUGAAAUUUUAGGUUGGAUAAUAAUACAGAAAACCAAACUGCUUUCCAAUGGAAGCAUUAUUUAGUGAUUUAGACAAAGCAGGACAAUGGCUUUGAGGUAGACUCAAGAUGGAAAGGUCUCUUAAGCAUCGUGGUACCACCUUUGUCCUUUUAUACACAGGUACAUUUUGUCUACCCCUCUAUGUCCUCCCUCAUUUACUCAAAAUCAUUAACUUAUUUUUCAUUUCUAAAACCUACAACUUAUUUUCUGUUUCUAAAUUCUGCUGUUUCUAAACUGUCAAAUUCAUAGAACCACACAGCAUAUGAUUCAUGGGAAUAGUCUGUUAGUUUUUCAUCAUCAUUCUCUGGACAUUUAUAUGAACUAUAUUAACAGCUGAGUCCUUUAGCAUCAGAUUCAUUGAUUCCAAUAUGCCACAAAUCACUCUGCAUCAGCUUUUGAAGAAUAUCUAUGUAUACUGUUUGCAUCAUACUCAUGUUUUUGUAUGAACAAAUCUUGCCAUUGGCUACAGUGAAUAGCCCAAACUAUAUUUGCUCAGGUGUAUGACACAUAAAUAUUUAGAAGAAAGAAGUGAAACUGUUGUCUUCCAACUGAUUAAGAUAUUUACUAAAUAAGUGGUAGACGUUUGUAAGAAAAUAGUUCUUUUUCUAUACAAUUAAGUAAUUUGAAUAUGCUGUGGUUCAUUUUUUAACUCAACCUACCACAAAUUAAAAAAGUCCUCUUGAGUGGAAACCUCCGUUUGUAUUUAUUGAUGGUGGAAGACGUGUCUGAUUGUGAGCAGCAACUUCAAACAGCAGCCCAGCCAGAGGGUGUGGGUCAGGACGAAGAUCGCUUGCCUUUUGUUCCCUUUGCCUUGCCUCUCAUCACGGACCUGAUUUACUGGUGCUGCAUCUGAUUUUUUUUUGUUUUGCUGAUAUUUGAGCCAGUGUUUCCAGCCUUCCAUUGGGGUGUAAGACCCAGCCAUUCUCCUGGAAGCUUCCAGGUUAUCAGCACUGGAUUGGACUGCUGAGAUACCCAGCUUGUGGACCAAUUACCUGAUUCUCAGCAUCUCAAAUAUGAUUCAGCUGUUGGCACAAUUUUAAUAUAUGUUGACCUAAUAAAUUCACACAUGCAAACACACACACACACACACUUCCUUUGUAUCUCCAAAGAACCUGAGUAUACAUACAUUCUAGCUCUAGAAAAAUAAAAUGUACAUUGAUAUUCUAUAUCCCAAAAUAUACUUGUCAGAGAAAGACACCAAAUUGGAUGUCAGAGAAAGACACCAAAUUAGACAUGUUAUUGGAUUAAACAUGUUCAAUAAUAUCCUCACUAUUUUGAAGCACAUACACAAAAUAUCCACAAAUGAUGUACAAUUCCCCUCUGUGUGCUGUGAAUAUGUUUUAUUACCAUUGGUUGAUGAAUGAAGUAGUUUUGGCCAAUGACUUAGCAAAGCAAAGCCAGGUGGUAAUUUGAACAGAGAUCAAGAGAGUGGGGGAGUCAAAGACAAGCCCUGCAGCUGCCAAAGGAUAAGAACCUGGAAUUUUUCCUGUAAGUCACAGCCUCAUGGCAACACAGAUUAAUAGAAAUGGUUAGGUUAAGAUCUAAGAGUUAAUUACUAAGAAGCCUGAGCUAAUAGUUUAAAGAGUGUAAAUUGAUAUAGCUAAUUAAUGAAUAUCUAAUAUUAAUUUUAAUAUAGAUGUUCAUUAAUUAAUAUAGUUUCUGUGUGAUUAUUUCAGUCUAUGCAGCCUGGAAACAAAAAAGCAGUCACUUACUACACUCAAAACUACUCAAAGUCCCACUAAGAUUAAAAUCAAUAAACAAUUUAUGUUUUUUGUGCACAACAGACAACUAGCCAACAAUGAUAACAAAUGACCUUUAUUAUAAAUCAUUACAGAAAUAUUUCCUAAAUGUAAUUUUAAAUGCAGUAUGCUAGACAGAAAAUAAGUAUAGAGCAUGUAUAAUCAAUUUAUACAUAAUACAAAAGCAUAAAAAGAGGUAUAAUUUGUUUAUGCAGUUAGGAAUCAUGAGCUUAGUUAUUCUUGGCUAAGAAUGACUGAGAGUGAACAGAAAGAGGAUUGGGUUGUAAUUUCUUGUAAUUAUUUUAGUAAUAUGGCGUUCUGCCUUCUGCACAUGACAUAGCCAUUUUUUUUUCUUGAACUAGAGAAGCUUUGAUUGUCAAACCAGCCCCUCAUGACAAUGGUUUCACCUACAUUUCCUGUACAAGUGAGAAUUCAGGGCUACAUAUGAGGCAGCCUGUCCCAACAGGUUCUGUAUGUAAAGAACUGGGCCAUAUGUAUUCUCAGCCUUUGGUUGAGAACAGGUCAAAUACUGAGACAUAUCUUAGUUGGACCACUGCUUCAGUUUCUUAUGAUAUUAAAAUCAAGGCGUUGCCUAAGGAUGGAAUCAUGUCAAAACAUGCCUGAACAGAUUCACUUCUAAGCUCACAUCUGUGGCUUUGCCUGAAUUCAAUUUAUCGAGAGUUGUAGGGUAAGAAUCAAAUAAUAUUCUGCCUGUUAAUAAGAACCCUACUGUUUCUUGUCAUGUGGUUUUUCUCAACAGAGCCCUUCUGCUGAGACAAAAACAUCAAGAGUGCGACGGUGAGAGCAAAAGGGAAGUCAUUAUGCUUUGUAAUCUAAUUGUGCAAGAAGCAUCCCUUCAUCUUUGCCUCAGGCUAUUGAAUAGGAGAUUAGAGAUUACAUAAGGCUAUGAAAAGCACAAUGCUGGGAUCAUUGUGGACCAUCUUAGGUACUUUGUCUACGGUCAAGGUAGAUUUUGAAGCUUAGCCCAAAUAUGUUUUCCUUUAGAUUUGUAAAGAGGAUUUUAAACAGGCCAGUGUGCGUUUUGUCCUUUGUGAUGCCGAGUAGUGGAAGCCUCAUUCCAUACCUUAAUUUUCUCACUUUAUUAGUUGCAUAGUGAUUUUUGCCUAUUUCUAACAAUGUUCUGAAUAAGUGAUAGUGUUAUCAUAUAAUAAAUUAUUCAGUUACAAAAUAAAUUCAUCUAAAUUUCUGACUAUGCAUCCCAGUACAAAGUUAAACAAAAUCACUAAGAGCUGAUGUUCUUUAUUUCUGUUCCAAACACAGAAAAUAUUCAGGCCGUCAUCAUAAAGUGUGAACAUAUUUACAGGCUAAGAAAGAGUACAGAUACUCUUUACCUUAGUUUAGGUUACUAUUGCUAUGACAAAAUAGUGUGGCCAAAAGCAAGUUGGGGAGGAAAGGGUUUAUUUCACUCACAGGUGUAUAUAACAACAGUUCAUCAUCAAAAUCAGUAACAGUAGUAACUCAGGCAAGGUAGGAACCUGGAGGCAGGAGCUGAUACAGAAGCCAUGAGGAGUAAUACUUACUGGCUUGUUUCCUAUGGCUUGCUCAGUUUGCUUUCUCAUAUAUGCCAGGACCACCAGCCCAGAAAUGGCCCCACCCAUAAUUGGCAGGGCCCUCCUCCAUCAACCACUAAUUUAAAAAAAUGCCCCACAACCAGAUCUUUUAGAGGCAUUUUCUCAACUGAGGUUUCCUCCUUUCAGAUAACUUUAGUUUGUAUCAAGUUUCCAUAAAAACGUCCAGCACACCCUGCACCAGGCUGAGAAUCAUCUUGUUUUACAUUUAUUUUAAUUUAUUUUCAUUUUGAGAAUUUCAUACAUGGACAUAGAGCCUUCAUCCAGCAAUUGAAGUAAGCAGAGGCAGAGAGCCACAGCAGAGCACUGGGCUGAGCUCCCAAAGUCAAGCAGGUAUAAUCUUUGAGAAGAGAAAGAGUAGAUAUCCGUGUUAGAAUGGGCUAAGAUGGUGUGGCAGAGGAGAGAGAGAGAAAGGGAGAAGGGGAAGGAAACAAGGGAAACUAGACAAGGGUGCUUGUCCUGGAGGGACAAAGGACAUCUCUAGAAAGAGAGGAGACAGACAUGGUACAUAGUCAAAUGGCAGUUUGCAAAGGGAAAGGAGAAACCCAGAUUAAGAAUAAAAUAUUUUAUUUUAAUUGGGCAUGUUGAAAUGGUGAUCCAAAGGGGCUUUUGAUUGCUGGAUUUUAAUACGUUGAUAGCUGUAUCUUGGUAGCAGGCCUUAAGGGAAGAGAGUGACAAAAUAAGGAAAUAGACCUUGGUUGGCAGCUUUAGGAAUGGAAUCUAACUUUUUAGCAAGACAGCAAGAUUGGAGGGAAAGGGCAAGGUCUGCCGCAGCCAUGCUCACCACACUCAAGCUGGGCACAGCCCCUUGAAAUGGAGCUUUAACUUCAAAUGACAUGAUUUUUAUAAAAUAUAUAGAGGAAGUAUGGAAGGAAGAAGGA